UACGUAGGGUGCAAGCGUUAAUCGGAAUUACUGGGCAUAAAGCGUGCGCAGGCGGUGAUGUAAGACAGGUGUGAAAUCCCCGGGCUUAACCUGGGAAUGGCAUUUGGGACUGCAAGGCUGGAGUGCGGCAGAGGAGACUGGAAUUCCUGGUGUAGCAGUGAAAUGCGUAGAUAUCAGGAGGAACACCGAUGGCGAAGGCAGGUCUCUGGGCUGACACUGACGCUCAUGCACGAAAGCGUGGGGAGCGAACAGG
rnacentral:rRNA from 1 species